AAGACAUAGUGGGUAUAAUGUAUUCAUGUCAUUAUUAUAUGCUUUUAUGAAUAUAUCCAAUUAUUAUGACUCCAUUGAAGAUUUUGUUAAACAUAUAAUUAAACAUGAAAUAUAUACUCUGUUUAAUAAUACUAUUGAUUAUGCUACUAAAAUGAAAGUCACCGAACUUUUGAAUAACAUGACUACUUUGAUAUGUAUACAGAAUUUGAAGGUGCAUGUAUUUAUCGAUCGAUGUUUAGAGCAAUGUUUUUUGGAAAUAGAAAAAGAUAAAGACAUUAUUAAAACAGCCAUAGACAACUUGGUUAAACAGAAGGAAGCUGGCUCUUACGAACAUACGUAUCUGAAGCAGUUGAAACGGUACAACAAUCGUUAUGAUUGUGCUGAGCAUACCGAACAAAACAUGAAAAGGGAAGAAGGUCUGCAUGUACAGGCAGGUACCGAAACAAAGUACGAACCAGAUCAUAAUGAAACUUUUCCUCAAGCUACAGAUGCAACUAAUAAUAUGAAUGUAUCUUACAACAUGGAAAAUGACCACACGUCAAAUAGUUAUGAAAAAGAAAGUGUGGAUAAAGAACAAAACUUAGUGCAAAAAAGUAACCAAACAAAAGUUGACAUUAAAUAUAGUGAGGUAAAUGUACAGGAUAAUACGGAAACAGUAGAAAACGAAUUUACAAUGAUAAAUGAUACAAUAACAAGUGAAAAUAACACAGAGAAAGCUGAAAAUGACGAUAUUAUAGAAUCUGAACAUAUUAGUAAUUUAAAAAAACUGGAAUCUCUGAAUAGCCCAAAUUUACUUUAUAAAGAUAAAAUUUAUAUAACAAACGAUAAAGAGAAAGAAGAAUUUUAUAUUUUAAAAAAGAUAAAAGAGUAUGUUUAUAUUUAUAUCGAACAGUUUAUAAAUGAAUUAAUACAAAUACCACAUAAAGAAUUAAAUAAUAGUAUAAGGUUUUUAUUCUAUACAAUUCAGGAUGAACUUGAUGGAUUAAAAAAAAAUCAAAUAAUUAAAGAUCAUAAAAUAAACAUACAUACUUUAACCCUUUGUUUAGACUUAUUUAUUAAUUCAGUUUUAUAUCCAUAUAUUUUUUAUGUGCAUGAACAACAUGCAAAUGUAGCCAUAAAAAACAAAAAUUCUGUACUAUACCAAAAAGUAGUGUUAAUGUUUGCACAGACAUUAAAAGAAGUCUCUAUAUAUGUUUUCCAAAUAUAUAAUGUAGGAACCUACGAAGAGAAUUUUAAAGCUUUCAUAAAUAAUAUAAAAAAAAAUGAGUUACUUGCAGGGAAAGUAACUAAUGAAAAUAUGUUUUUCUUGGACGUUUGUGAGAAGCUGUAUAAAUGGAUCAUCAAAAAUUUAGAAGUGCCCAGGUACUACUCACCAAUCAAAUGGUCAUGCAACGAAAACAUAGGAAAGAGUUUCGAAAUGGUAGUAAAAGAAAUCGUAAAUAUAAACAAAUUAGCAACGCAAAAAUGUGUUAAUGAAAAUAUCGAUUUUAAUAUAUUCUUUAGUAUCAAAAACAUUAAAGAGAUAUUGGAUUUAUGUUAUUCAAUAAUAAAUGACAUACAGUGAUAAAAUGAUAUGCAUUCACUAGUAGACGUCAAACAAAACAGUCUGUUCCUAUUAGUGAAUAACAUUUAAUAAGCGCACAUUUAAGUUAUCAUUUUUUUUUU
rnacentral:lncRNA from 1 species